rnacentral:lncRNA from 1 species
GAUUGACCGAAUUAUAGCUGAAAUAAUUUGCAAUUAGACCUGUGGAAAACCAUUGUGUCUGUAACCAUAAGGGUGUAAGGCCACAGGCUACAUCACACAAAAAUACUGAAGAAUGAUUUUUAAUCAUAUUGCAACAAUUUUUAAAAGCAAGGAAGGUAACUGCCCCUGCAAAAAAACAAAACUCGACAGUGAAUGCAUAAACCAA